AGCUAACUUUUGUUAAUUCUUCUAAAAAUGAUAUAGACCUGUUUGUCAACCUAAGACGACCAAAACAUAAAAUGGUUGCUAUGGAGAUUAAACCAACAGAAAGCCGCCAUUUUGAAAAAAGUAUUAUUUUUAAUGAAUUUGUCCAGUACAGCUCUUACCAGGCAGAGGCAGAAGGAAGCUACAUGAGAAGCAGUUUUUCCUGACUGGACACAACGCAGCAGAGGGUCGGCUAUGAGAUGUCAGAUAAUCCCGCAGCAGAGAUGGACUACAUUAGUCACAGAUAACAUGCUUCAUCUCUGAGUACGGCACUAUGCAACAAGGGCUGAGAGAUAAGGACUGGCAAGCUCGGGUGGCAGGAGCUGCCAAAAUGCCCUCCCGUGUGAUUUCACUAUAUGAGACAGUGAACUGCUGCCAGACCCAGUGAUAGUGCCCCUAAAAAGGAGGAGAAGCUUUGAUAAAAACAUCAGCAAGUGCAGAUUAAUAAAUCUUUGAAAUUUCCACUA